UUCUGGCAAUCUGCKCCUCAUAAAURUUUGAAUAAAUAUUUUAAGAGAGGMACUCAUAAAUUUUGAGAUAGUUGAGA
rnacentral:tRNA from 1 species